rnacentral:rRNA from 1 species
UACGUAGGGGGCAAGCGUUAUCCGGAUUUACUGGGUGUAAAGGGAGCGCAGACGGCAGUGCAAGUCUGGAGUGAAAGCCCGGGGCCCAACCCCGGAACUGCUCUGGAAACUGUGCGGCUAGAGUACUGGAGGGGCAGGCGGAAUUCCUAGUGUAGCGGUGAAAUGCGUAGAUAUUAGGAGGAACACCAGUGGCGAAGGCGGCCUGCUGGACUGCGACUGACGUUGAGGCUCGAAAGCGUGGGGAGCAAACAGG